GUUCAACAUCUGCAACGAGAUGAAUGCAAUGGCAAUGCCUAUGGUGAACCUACUGUCUUUGGCUAAAGAUAAAAGGAGUUGCCUAGUAGACAUUAAUUAUAUCAAUUGCAGGAUCAAUGAGGUUAGCUCAAUGGAGGUAGGAUAAAGCAAUAGUCUCCCUUAAAGCCUUUUGAUGUGGGCGUAUACUCUUUAUGGGGGGACUACUUCACAUGCCUUGUUUUGGCUAUCUUGUUUUGUUCACAGCAAGUCAGUGUAUGCAGCUGAACUACAUCACGUAUCCAGGAAUACAUUGUUAACCAGAAAAGGCUCGCACUCUGCCUGAAAGUACUCAACUCUGCAGAAAAUUUCCCAAAGUCAAAGGUCUUUACCGUUUCUCUGAAUCUCUGAAUUUGUUGUUUUACAUGCUGAUUUUAUUCUGGAUUUACUGGUUGUAGGCACAUCCACAGGGUAUUAAAUUGUUUGUUGGAGAUUGUUGUCAUGUCUGUGGCAAAUAGAAGAAAUCCCUGAGUCCUCCAUUUGUUUUGGAGCAUCUCUUGGGCUCCUUAUGACUUCUAGAACUUCAGAUAGUAUUUUCUAGUUAGCAAUUGAAAGCAAAGCUUGUGUUCUCCACUGGAUUAUUACUGUCACUGGUGUAAUCAUGUCAGAAUGACCGUUCAAUUGACAAGUCCGAUUCAAUAAGUGCAUGUUCAGGCAAAGGCCAUUCAGUGUCAAUUUAGCCUCCAUUUCUGGUUUAUUAUUUGACAAAUAUUGUGUUCCUGCUCUUUCUUGAAUCACGGAAUUACACGCAAGAAAGAUUAAUGAAAUGGUAUCGUCAUGUCUGUGUUCAUCUGGUGGUAGCCCUUUGGUGAAGAUGUUGUAAUUUAAGAAAUGAGUAUCAGUGACCAUUUCUUGACAUUUUCAUGAAGAAAAACAGAUAACAUGAAGAGGUUUCAUGACAUGUUGCAGUCAACUCCCCAAAGCAGGGCAUGCUUAACCCCAAGUCCAGUUGCCAAUGAGCACUUAUAGCUUCAGUUCGCUCUCGAUGCUACUGGUGAUUGAAUAUGUGUUCGUUGAAUUAGUUUAGCGGCAGGAAAGUGGCAUUGCAAUGUUACUGUGCUGUUCCAAAUCAAGAAUGCUGCUAAGCUCUUCAUCCACAGUUCCAACAUUUGUGAAGAGUAUUCAGGGCUUGCCAUGGCUGAACAAAUUGGAGAUUAAUUCCAUGAAUCCCCGCAUGCGGAUUUUACGCACUCAGAUAAAUGAGGCGGUCCUUGCAGCUGCUUGUGCAGCAGCUUGUGCCUACACAACUUGCUGUAGCAGCAGUGUAAGCGUGCCUUCGUGGGGUGAUAGACCUGUCCGAUUGGCAGACUAAAGAAUCAUUGUCUUGAUUCAUUUCACAAACAGGUAGGUUGAAUCUGACCGAUCAUGCUGCAUAGAAUUUGUGGAAACUGUGUAUGAAAAGUUGACGUGUUUCCUUGAUAGAUAAAAUCUACGCAUUCUUUUCCGGUCAUAUUGAAGGUUGGUUUUGAGAGAGAGAUCGAGCACAUGCAUUGGCGUCCUGCUGAUCAGUGACUACUCAACUAUGCUUAAGUGAACUACUACUGCAAAUGCUCCAUUUAUCUGCAAUGAACAAAUUAACCUUAUUUGCCCAAAAUUUUUAUUACCUUCUUAUCGUUGAUGAUAUUGACCAUUUAUUCCCUCAAAAUAAAGAAAAUGCAGCUUCUAAGAACAUUUCUAAAUUUUAUUGGAUUUAU